UCCAGACUCCUACGGGAGGCAGCAGUGGGGAAUAUUGCGCAAUGGGGGAAACCCUGACGCAGCAACGCCGCGUGAGUGAGGAAGUAUCUCGGUAUGUAAAGCUCUAUCAGCGGGGAAGAAAGAGGACGGUACCCGACUAAGAAGCCCCGGCUAACUACGUGCCAGCAGCCGCGGUAAUACGUAGGGGGCGAGCGUUAUCCGGAUUUACUGGGUGUAAAGGGAGCGCAGGCGGCACGGCAAGCCUGAUGUGAAAGCCCGCGGCCCAACCGCGGGACUGCAUUGGGAACUACCGGGCUGGAGUGCCGGAGAGGUAGGCGGAAUUCCUAGUGUAGCGGUGAAAUGCGUAGAUAUUAGGAGGAACACCAGUGGCGAAGGCGGCCUACUGGACGGUGACUGACGCUGAGGCUCGAAAGCGUGGGGAGCAAACAGGAUUAGAUACCCUUGUAUA
rnacentral:rRNA from 1 species